CUUCAUUCCUCCCUUUGGCUAAGAUCAAGUGUAGUAUCUGUUCUUAUCAGUUUAAUAUCUGUUUGUUUGUUUUUCAAGACAGGGUUUCUCUGUGUAGCUUUGGAGCCUAUCCUGGCACUUGCUCUGGAGACCAGGCUAGCCUCCAACUU
ensembl:snRNA U2 U2 spliceosomal RNA